CUACGACAAAAACUGUACAGAUUAAAGGUACGGUUCGCAGUGCAUCCACUCAUUCGGAGAUGGCUUCAGUUGUUUUGCUUUUUGUUGGCGUCUUAACGAUAAUUACAACACUGUGAUGCAAAACCGUUGUAGGAUUCUGAUCAGUUUAAUGUCCAGCAACAAAACGUUUUCUAAGUAGGCCCAUAUACAAUUUCCAUUCUGCCAUUUGGGUCAGCAAUCAUAUUUAAAAGCAGUAAAAACAUUAUAAUCAUAACCUGGGGUGGGCUUUGAACUUUAUCUAAACUAGUUCAAAAUGCAUUUCAGUUAUCUAGGAAAGCAAAGAGUGACUUGAAUAAUUGUCAUCCUGUACACGCCUUGUGAAACAGGGCUGUGUUUUGUUUGCUUUUCCAUGAUUUGAAUUUGAGUUUAAGGUCAAAGUGUGGGCAGUAA
ensembl:lncRNA